UACGUAGGGUGCAAGCGUUAAUCGGAAUUACUGGGCGUAAAGCGUGCGCAGGCGGUUCUAUAAGUCAGAUGUGAAAUCCCCGGGCUCAACCUGGGAACUGCAUUUGUGACUGUAGAGCUGGAGUACGGUAGAGGGGGAUGGAAUUCCGCGUGUAGCAGUGAAAUGCGUAGAUAUGCGGAGGAGCACCGAUGGCGAAGGCAAUCCCCUGGACCUGUACUGACGCUCAUGCACGAAAGCGUGGGGAGCAAACAGG
rnacentral:rRNA from 1 species